UGGUGGAGUGAUUUGUCUGGUUAAUUCCGAUAACGAACGAGACUCUAGCCUACUAACCAGUGAGCAGAUCAUCUCGUCUGUUCCACUUCUUAGAGGGACAAGCGGUUUUUUAGCCGCACGAAAUUGAGCAAUAACA
rnacentral:rRNA from 1 species